rnacentral:rRNA from 1 species
GAUGAACGCUGGCGGCGUGCCUAAUACAUGCAAGUCGAGCGAACAGACGAGGAGCUUGCUCCUCUGACGUUAGCGGCGGACGGGUGAGUAACACGUGGAUAACCUACCUAUAAGACUGGGAUAACUUCGGGAAACCGGAGCUAAUACCGGAUAACAUGUUGAACCGCAUGGUUUAACAGUGAAAGACGGUCUUGCUGUCACUUAUAGAUGGAUCCGCGCCGCAUUAGCUAGUUGGUAAGGUAACGGCUUACCAAGGCAACGAUGCGUAGCCGACCUGAGAGGGUGAUCGGCCACACUGGAACUGAGACACGGUCCAGACUCCUACGGGAGGCAGCAGUAGGGAAUCUUCCGCAAUGGGCGAAAGCCUGACGGAGCAACGCCGCGUGAGUGAAGAAGGUCUUCGGAUCGUAAAACUCUGUUAUUAGGGAAGAACAAAUGUGUAAGUAACUAUGCACGUCUUGACGGUACCUAAACAGAAAGCCACGGCUAACUACGUG